rnacentral:lncRNA from 1 species
UGGAGGAGACUUCAUUUGAUGGCAGAAAAAGAUGCGCUUCCUCCUCACAACACUCAAGGUCGCGUAUGUUCUAGAUACACCACGACCAAGUGAGGAAGACGGUGAAGAAUCUGUGGAAAGAACUCAAUCGACGUAGAAAUGGGAUAAUGAUGACUACAUAUGUGAGACCUUGACCUUUAUAGACUCAUAGUUAGUAAUAUACGCGAUAUCCCUGAUCAGGGAUAAUUUCGUCAUUUCCUUAGUAAGCCCA